CGCCCCUUCCCCUUCCAUAGCUCGCGCUCUUCCUCUCUUCCCCGCCCCCUCACUCCGCCGGCCGCCGGCCCGUCGACUCCUUCGCCUCCAGGGAGCGCUGCCGAGGCGGCCGCGUUGCUUUGGGUCGCGCGCCGCCGCGCCCCCUUCCCUAACCCUAGCUCCAUCACCUGCCCGACCCGCCGCAGCCUGCGCCACCUCCUACAUCGAGCCCCGCUGUCCGCGUCCCCGCGGCAUCGCCAUCUUCAUCCGCGUGCACUUGGCGAUGGCGCCACCCACUGCCGGCCCUUGGACCGUGCUGCUCGAGCGCGGCGCCGGCUCUCGAUCCGUCUGGAGACGGAGAUGGAGACGUCGCAGCGGAGCAGAAGUAGACGCUCGAUGCGGCGCUCCCCCGUCCCUCUUCCUCCUGCACCAGCUGCAUGCGCUCGAUUCGGUGCUCUCCCGUCACUCCUCCUCCUCCAUCGCCGGGAGGGGCGUGGCCCUCUACUUGCGCCGCUGCUCCAGGUUCUCUCUCUCUCUCUCUCUCUGACUAUUGCGAUGGAACUGCAGGAGACGAACGAGUUGGGCUCGGACGUUGCUGGCCGCCUGUUUGGUCUGCAAGAGGAUGCUCCCCUCUCCCUCUGUAAUUAACAGGCAAUGUACCAUCUUUCUCUCUCAGAUAUGAUGCAUCCAUCAUUUGGGUAAUGAUUUUUUCCAUGAGCUUACUGCUUCUAUGUCCUAAUCAGAUAUUAGAUUACCGUAUGGCCCUCAGUUGCCCCUAAAACCUCAACUACUGAUGUUGCUGAGGUUACAGCCAUAACCCUCUUGCUUUGGACAGAACUUAUAAUUUCUUUUGCAUAAGUGUGCCAAGUGCUGAACUGAUUCACGUGGCUGGUUGUUAUUGGGCAUUUGUGUGGUUUAAAUAUUUCAGUAUCAGUGCAAGAUCAUCUAUCUAUUUGAGUAUUUAUCUUGGUACAUGAACAUAUUCAUAUCAAUAUAGCACAUGAAUACUUGACAUGGCUAUCUAUUUUAGUCUUGCAUUGAUAUUUUGAGAAUGGAAGUGGCCUGAAAGCCACUUGACUGAAUUGCCAUCUCUUGCAAAGUGGCAGUGCCAUGAUAAUUAGAUGCCUGCAGGGGAUCUUCUUUUCAUUGAAACAUUUACCUAUGAUAUUGAGCAUAGUUCUUUUUUCUUGAAUUUCGCUGCCAUGUAUGUGUUACUUGGAAAUUUAGCCAUCGAGCAUGUGCUUGGGCAUGGUUUAACAUUGCAGAAUAAUUGUUUGAUGUAGUUGGGGUUCUCUUUUUUGUGCGAAGUGCAGACUGAGAUGGUUUCUUGUGCAAAGUGCUGCUACCGGUCAACAAUCCAAUUUUGGUAUUUGAUUUCCACCAUUCUAUUCUUACAGGCCAGUAAUAUGAAUUUGUUAUUUGAUUGAUUUGUGGUGGCUGGCAAUUAUUUUUGCUUCAGCUCACUAAGAAUCUCCCCCCCCCCUAAUCAAAUAUAUGCUAUUUUCCUCCAUUUUGUUCCCAUCUGAUAUCCAGUAGAUGUGAAUUUUAUUCCUUGUCCGUGAAAAGCUACAAUUUUUUUACUGGCACUACUUUACUAUCCUCCAAGGUGUGCUUCCAUUUAAAUUCUGCAGGUCCUUUCAAUCAUUCAUGUUGCCUCUUGAUAUGUUUUACCGGAAGGGAAAUGCAUCAAUAAGCUUUCUGUGUUUUUUUAUUUAUUUCUUGAGUUCAUGCAUUCCUUAGGUUACGCCAUGUUAAUAAAAGCCCAUUAUGUGAUCAGGUAUUCAUACUUGGACCAUAUGACAAUCCUGCCAUAGCCAGUGCAGCCUGAUGACUGUGUAGUUGCUAGGUGCAGAGGGUGUUGCUAAUAAAUGGCCAUUACUUGAUUAGGUGUUAAUGCUCUACUCAAAUUGCAUUGAUAUUGAUCUUAAGAUGUCAAGCAUUUUCAUUAACUAGUCUUCCUCGACUAAAAUAUCACGGUCUUUCUCUACUGGUCACUCGCAACGGAUGUUAUGUUUCUUUUUUUGAAGUAUAUUUGGAUGUCUGAAGUUUUUUUUCCUGAAUUAUGGCUAUCCUUUAUAGUAGUAAUUCUAAUUUGAGUCGAUAUAUCGGUGUUCCGUACCAUCCUAAAAAUGCGUCUCUGGUGACAGUCAUAGUUCUUAAUUUUCAUUGGAUUCCUAUAUGGUUUCUGAAUAUUUGAUGUUCUGAAUAUUAAGGAAUUACUUAAUUUCUAAAAUAUGUGCAUAUCGUGUUAUCAUAAUUGAGGGAAUCAAUUGGCACAAUUUUAGUGUGUACGUAUAGUUGAUUCAUAUUCAAAAUGUCAUUCUAUGUAACCAUGGGGUUUAGUUUUGCAUCAUGCUUGCCUCUGUAGUUUUGCUUGCUUAAUGGUCCUACUCCAUUGAGUGUUGCUCUUUUACCAAGAGUUAAUUUUCCUUUGAAAGUAUAAAAUUUCAAGCUUCAGAUGUGGUUUAUUAUGUUCUGAUUGGUCCUACUUUCAUACGAUAGAAUGCUGAUAAUUAAUUUUUCAUGCCGAUAGAUGUUGCCCCACCAUUCCAAACGAAAUGUGUAACCAGGCCACCGCUAGGUAUGUUCUUUUUUCAGGUUGGGUAAAAAAGCACUCGACACGAGUCUACCGAGGGCGUCGCCGGCAUAGACACGGUAGACUCGAGUGCAUUGCCAGAAGUCUGCAGGAGGUGCAGCAGAGAGGUCCUAGCGACCACGACGGCACAUCCGCGGCUGGUCCACCUUGGGCUGCUUCUCCACCACCAAGCGCUUGCCCCGCGUGUGCUUCUUUUCUCCCAGGAAUGGACCGUAGCCAUGGAGAGCGGCCAGAGGAGCAAGGACGGUCAGCCCCUGCCUCCUCUCCUGCACGGCUGCACGUGAUGGGGAUUACGAGCGACGUACGUGAUUUUGCAAGUACAGGUGAUAAAGAUUCAUGAUUUGGCUGCGCGCAUGCUUGCUGGCUGGAGGAGUUUGAUUCAUUACUUGAUGGCCUCAAAAUGGAUACAAGAUCUGUUGGAAUCAAGAAGGCGUUAAGGGAAUUUAAAUUAUGUCUGAUCUGUACCGGGACGACGCCGACAGUAAAAGGAACUAAGGAAGGGUUCUUGAGGUCUGCUCCUUCUCCACCGGUAGAGAGGAGCCUCCUUCUCAUGAUUCGCCUGUCUGCCCCGGCCCUCCCCGGCUAGAGGUGACGCCAUGGAAGGUCUGGCGGCUCCAUGGAUACAUGGAAGCCGCCAUCAUUUUGUCGGACAGCCGCCAUCAUUUUGUCAGACUAAGUGUGGAGUUACUUGUGCAAGUUCCACCAUCAACAAACACAAAGUUCUGCAUGCUAUCAUCGCAAGUAAAGCAGUCAGUCUGUUAGGGAGAAAACAAAGGCUUGUGUGCUCAUUAGUUUUUUUUUGUUCUAUCAUGUGGUCUCCUUAUCUAUCUGUAACAUGUGACCUGUGCAACUGCAAAAAUUUUAGACAAUAAAAUUCUGUGUAACACAUGUUCUUAUACAUUUUGCCUAUAGAGACUGUGCAUAGUUAUUCCCUUUUUUGUUGCCUUGUGUAAUAUAUAUUGUAAACAAAUUGUCGUGACCUACUGAA